GUAACAAGGUAGCCGUAUCGGAAGGUGCGGCUGGAUCACCUCCUUUCUAAGGAAAAACGGAAUGUACUUGAGUUUCUUAUUUAGUUUUGAGAGGUCUUGUGGGGCCUUAGCUCAGCUGGGAGAGCGCCUGCUUUGCACGCAGGAGGUCAGCGGUUCGAUCCCGCUAGGCUCCAUUGAAUCGAAAGAUUCAAGUAUUGUCCAUUGAAAAUUGAAUAUCUAUAUCAAAUUCCAUAUGUAAGUAAUUACAUAUAGAUAGUAACAAGAAAAUAAACCGAAACGCUGUGAAUAUUUAAUGAGUUAGGUCGAAAGGCCAAAAAUAAGGUUAAGUUAAUAAGGGCGCACGGUGGAUGCCUUGGCACUAGAAGCCGAUGAAGGACGUGACUAACGACGAAAUGCUUUGGGGAGCUGUAAGUGAGCAAUGAUCCAGAGAUGUCCGAAUGGGGGAACCCGGCAGGUAAUGCCUGUCACUCAUUACUGUUAAGGUAAUGUAGAGGAAGACGCAGUGAACUGAAACAUCUAAGUAGCUGUAGGAAGAGAAAGCAAAAGCGAUUGCCUUAGUAGCGGCGAGCGAAACGGCAAGAGGGCAAACCGAAGAGUUUACUCUUCGGGGUUGUAGGACUGCAACGUGGACUUAAAGAUUAUAGAAGAACUACCUGGGAAGGUAGGCCAAAGAGAGUAAUAGCCUCGUAUUAGAAAUAGUCUUUAUACCUAGCAGUAUCCUGAGUACGGCGAGACACGAGAAAUCUCGUCGGAAUCUGGGAGGACCAU
rnacentral:sRNA from 1 species